GACGAACGCUGGCGGCGUGCUUAACACAUGCAAGUCGAACGGAAAGCGCUCUUCGGAGUGACUCGAGUGGCGAACGGGUGAGUAACACGUGGGUGAUCUGCCCUGCACUUUGGGAUAAGCCUGGGAAACUGGGUCUAAUACCGAAUAGGAUCACGCGCCUCAUGGUGUGUGGUGGAAAGCUUUUGCGGUGUGGGAUGGGCCCGCGGCCUAUCAGCUUGUUGGUGGGGUAAUGGCCUACCAAGGCGACGACGGGUAGCCGGCCUGAGAGGGUGUCCGGCCACACUGGGACUGAGAUACGGCCCAGACUCCUACGGGAGGCAGCAGUGGGGAAUAUUGCACAAUGGGCGCAAGCCUGAUGCAGCGACGCCGCGUGAGGGAUGACGGCCUUCGGGUUGUAAACCUCUUUCAGCAUCGACGAAGCGCAAGUGACGGUAGAUGCAGAAGAAGCACCGGCCAACUACGUGCCAGCAGCCGCAGUAACAC
rnacentral:rRNA from 1 species